CGGUGCACUUACAGCUCAAACUGUGAAGCCAUAUUGUUGUAAGGUUGAUGAAAAAUGAGGUCAUGGCCUGUUUCAGUAUGAAGUGGGGGAAGGGGAAGCUUGCUUUCACCAAGAUCAAUCUGUACACUGUUGUCACAGAGAGUGUCCAGAAAACAUCAAAAGAGACGGGGCAAAUACUGCAGCAGCCACUGCCUUUUGUUUAAAAUAUGCCCCAGCAGAGCCGUCGCAAGGAGGGUGAGAGGCCCUGUGCAAAGUUGAUGUGCGAGGCCCACUACAAUUUUGCGUGUAU